rnacentral:tRNA from 1 species
GAAGUUUUGCUCUUNAGCGCCUGCUUUGCACGCAGGAGGUCUGCGGUUCGAUCCCGCAUAGCUCCACCA